rnacentral:rRNA from 1 species
GACGAACGCUGGCGGCGUGCUUAACACAUGCAAGUCGAACGAAGUGGCGAACGGGUGAGUAACGCGUAAUCAACCUGCCCUUCAGAGGGGGACAACAGUUGGAAACGACUGCUAAUACCGCAUACGGAAGGAGGGGAUUGCGUCUGAUUAGCCAGUUGGAGGGUUAACGGCCCACCAAGGCGAUGAUCAGUAGCCGGUCUGGGGGGGUGAACGGCGAAAUUUGGACUGAGACACGGCCCCGACUCCUACGGGAGGCAGCAGUGGGGGAUCUUCCGCAAUGGACGAAAGUCUGACGAAGCAACGCCGCGUGAGUGAUGACGGCUUUCGGGUUGUAAAGCUCUGUUAAUCUGGACGCGGUACCGGCAUAGAAAGCCACGGCUAACUACGUGCCAGCAGCCGCGGUAAUUC